ACCACUAGUGCCUCCAGAACAAAAAACGCGUCUGUUUUGACCUGCUCAUGUUUUUGUUUACAUUUAAUCAAUAUAGAGUCUACUAAAUCAAAAGAAGCACAUCCUCAUAUUAACAUGAUGUUCUUGCCUUGUUAUGCUGUUUGUUAUAGAUCGGGCCUUUGUCCUUCAAGGCUUUGACAUGUGUGUUGUCAGAUUUCUAAUGGCUGAUGAAGGCUGGAUCGCUCCGUUAACGACUACAAGGACAAACAGUUUCCACUGACUCCCUAUUACUGCCCUUUCCACUCUUAAAGGCAGAUUAAAGAAAAGAACGGUCUCUCACAGAGCAAGUGUGGGCACCUCUGUCACCUGCAUGAACAUUCCCUUCAGGUUGGCGAUGACGAUGGCUGCCAGCACUGACUGUGGGAACCAUACAGAGCUGGAUUAGUGUGUUAGUCUACAGUGCGGCUGAGUCUCUCCCUCAGGGUCCUCUCCUCCCGGGCCUGCCUCUCGUUGUCCUCCUCAAACGUGGGGUUGGAGUAGAUGGGUCUGGACACGGUGUAUGGGUACAGGUUCUCUGGAGAGUGGGCAUCCAUACCGCUCCACCUGCUGAGGAGACAGACAUGAUGGCGAUGUUUACAUGGAACACAACCAGUGAGCACCAGUGCCUUCCCUUAUGAAGUGUAAACAUCUUGAGUUAGAAAGAGUUUCUGAAGAUUUGCUUGACAGAGAGAUAUACAAAUGGGAUAGAGCUGGUCUUUUUUUUUAAAUUUUACAAUCUUUAUUAAGAGCUGUCAUUUUAUUGUGAGGAACUGCAGUUUUAUCCGAUUUUUGUCCUCUGUUAUGUGAGUGAUCUUACAGACCUAUUCAAUCAAACCUGGCACUUCCAGGGUAGUGAGAAAAGCCUGUUUGAAUGUAUAUGCUCUUCUCGCUUUUAUUUCUCUCUGCUUGUCACCAUAUAGUUUGGGGAAUGGCACACAUAGCCAGCCAGUGAAACCUUUGCUUUAUCUUAUCAAGUGUGAAUUAUAAUGACACAACGAUUUUGUGACAAUAAAAAAAAUUAGGGACCUGAUAUAGUGACUGCAGAAAAAACAGGUGUCAGAUUUAACUGGGGAGCUUCCUCCAUGUUUUUAUCUAAGAGGCAAUUUGAUUUGUAUCUUUCCAAAACAGUCAAUAAAAUAUAAUUCAUUACAUGAUGUCUGAGUUUAUCACCAAGAUUACUCUGAGGUCAAAGGUCAAAAACACAAAACAGGACAGUACUAUAAUUUAGGCACAGUCAUGUUAGGCUAAAGUAUCCAUGAUUUCUAUAGUAGAUUCGUCUAAUAAUGUUUUUCUUCACACGUUGUGAUGUUUUUCAGGUUCUGUUAGAGGGAAACCCCCUCAUACAUGGUGUCAUUGAUUGCUACAGAGUGUUACAAUGGGACAGUUAGACAAAGUUUUGGUCAUAAGAUCUCCCUCUGUGUUUUUGACCUCAGUAGUACUGCUUGUUGGGUUUCAGCAUCGCACCAUAGCCAAGAGCAUCCUUAGCUUGAUCUCACCCCAAAGCUGUCACUAAGGAACAGGGUUACCAACGACAUAGCGGUGCCAGGCUAAGAAUACAUCCAAAACUCAGCAUAGCCUAGCCUAGCCUAGCCUAGCCUAGCCUAGCCUAGCCUAGCCUAGCCUAGCCUAGCCUAGCCUAGCCUAGGGUAAAAUCUGGGGAAAGCUAACCACAGUUAGGAAAUGUAAUUUUUAAAGCACAUUAGUCUGCGAGUUAAUAAGACACACUUUUGUGACAUAGGAAAACACUGGAUGGCCGGAUAGGGGUGGGUCUGAUAUUCUACACCUACACCUAAUAUGACACCAGAGGCUUGAGUGAAAGAUGGAGUUUGUGUUCAACACGGAACAAACUCUCUCUUUCAUUAACUGUAUAUUCACGAGUCAGUGGAUCAGAGCCAGAGUUGGGGGCUUGUCCCCCAAUCAAAACCAUUGUAAGUCGCUUUGAAUAAAAGCAUCAGCUAAAUGGCAUAUAUUAUUGUAAUUGUUAUAUAAAGGCCACCACCACAAGGUUUUGAAAAGGUGCACUACAGACCAACAUAGAUAUCCUUAUUUGAUAACCUCUAAUCAUUUUAAUUCAGUGUUCUAUUUUAGGAUAUUGCUUUAAUUAUUUUCUGAUUAUGUCUGAAGAACUGUGUUCACAAUUUGAUGAUGUUUGUCCAUUUUGUUUGGCUGGAUGACCACACAGUUGCAUAAAUAUUUACAAAUCCAUGAGUCACAAAUUAAAACAUAAAAAAAAAAAUUCUACUUCUACAAAAGUAUUGUGUCAUAAUCACUUACCUGAUCUCCUUGGGUAGUUGUUCUAUAUUCCAGAAUGUUGCUCCUUUUCAGAAGUGAAUAACAAAAGUACAUCCCACGAAUUGACCACAAACAUUACACAUCCUCUUUCAAACAGUCUAGGGCUAAUUCUUCAAUGUCAUACUCUCCUUCUCACUCUCUCUCUCUUUGUUUCUUAGAGCCCCAUCCCUGUGUGUGUUUGUG